ensembl:lncRNA
CGCCGGUCGGGUGGGCGGAUGGGGCGGUGCCCGCUCGGAGCUGCCGCCGCGGGGUACUCACGUCCCACCUGCGGAAGGUGGGGCUAGCUCUGGAGGAGUUCCUUGGUGGCCUUGAGGACCUCAGACUUAACCCGGCCGCUGGAGCCAUCCCGGCGGACUGGAAGUGCACGGGCUAGGAGAGCAAGAAGGACGUGACAGGCGGGCGAACCUGACGUAAUUAGUGAACGAGGGCUAAAGAAAAAGAAGUCAGUAGGUGGAGAUGGGGCACACCUUUAGUCCCAGAACUCGGGAGGCAGAAAGAUCUCUAUUUAUUAUUAUUUUGUCAACAUGUAUGUCUGCACUACGAAAGAGGACACUGGAUCCCAUGAAGCUGCAGUAAUAGACAGUGGUGUCCCUCCCUGAUGAUUGCAUGCCAAGAUGAUCUGGUCUUCCCAUCCGUUGUUGGACGUUCGUGUGGCCUCUCACCAGUGUGUAAUGUGAUGCCAAAUAAGGCAGAAGCUGCUGCCUAAACCCUUUCCAGUCAGGACACUUAUAAGGCCUCUCUCCUGUGUAAGUUCUCUUGUGAACCAUAAGGGGGAAAUAUUGCUGAAGCUUUUCCCUCACUCGCCACACAAGACGGACUUCUCCCCUGCGCGUGUUUUCAAAUGCUGAACCAGGUGGGAACUGUUAGAACAGCCUUUCCCACGUCUAGAACAUUUAUAUGAUUUUUCUCCUGAGUGUGUCCCCUGGUGUGUAUGGAGACGAGAAGCUUUCCCAGCAUUUAGAACAUUCAGGGGGCUUCUCUCUAAAAGACGAAUUCCACUGGGCAGAGGUGUUGAUAUGAUCUUCAGAACCCCAUCCUCCUUGGCGAGGUCCCCCCUCCUUUCUCUAUAGUGUCCUCCUGUUUCUCUGAUUGGUCAUCAUUCUCAUAAGAAUCAUGACAACAGACCUCUUCUCCAUGAGACUAUACCAGAUGCAUGCUUCUGUUCGUCGUGCUUAGAAUUCUGUGGCCCUCAUCUUUUAGACCAUUUUAGAGCCUUCUCUUGAAGUUUAUCAGCCUUAGGUGUACUGCUUUGAACAGUCCCUAAGUUAUCCCUAUUUUCAUCUCCUGCAAGAAUUAAAAAAAAAAAAAAAUCUAACCAUAGUCCUUUAUCUUGCCUGACAAAUUCUGAACUGAAGUGCGAGAGUAACAGUGGAAACCCUCAUAAUGCAUUAUUAGAAAAUCAGUGUAUGGGUUGGUGAUUUAGCUCAGUGGUAGAGCGCUUGCCUAGGAAGCGCAAGACCUUGGGUUCGGUCCCCAGCUCCGAAAAAAAGAAAAGAAAAAAAAAAAAAAGAAAGAAAGAAAGUCAGUGUCUGUGUGUGCUUGGAGGUGCCUUCCCUUUGGUUUCUGCUGCUAUUUUAAACACCACGACCAAAAGCAACUCGAGGAGGAAAGAGUUUCUUUCAUCUUAUAUCACAGGUAACUGUCCAUUGCUAAAGGAAGUCAAGGCAGGGUCUCCAAAGGGGAACUGAGAAACCGUGGCGGGGGGGGGGGGGGGAGGAGGG